ensembl:ncRNA lncRNA:CR45323 long non-coding RNA:CR45323
UAUGUAUUUUCCAGACAAAAGUGUACACUUUAAGCACCUAGAACUAGAGUUUUAGUUGCUACAUUGAACUAAAGUCCUCCUUUUUAAUGGCUUUCCUUUGGUGGAUCCUGUUUUAGUUUAAUUUACUCCAGCAUAACGAAAUCGUUAGGGCGCCACAUGCAAUAAAAUAAAAAGCAAAACGCAAUUAAAAUUAUUUCAGACGACGCCAUGCAGUGUGGCAAAUGUUUUGCGUAAUUGCAGUUUGGGGCUCAUUAAAGACUGGGCCGUUUCCUCGCCGGCUCCUUCGCAGCUUAGCUGGCUCUCCUUGGGGGUUUUCCCCCCACUUUUCCAGCCGGACACAGCUGGCGUGCGAAAAGUGCCAAGCGGACUUAACAAUGCGUUACAUUAUUGUCCACCCACUCGACGAGUCCGGCGGAAAAACAUUAAAAAUCCAUUGCACAAAGCUAGACAAAUAGACGCACACCAUCGGCGAUGGGGUUGAGAGGGGUUGCACAUUCCACCCAGACAGACAAUCGGUUGGCUGACUAUAUAUACCAUAGCUCCAUAUAUAUAUAUAUAUAUAUAUAUAUGUACAUAGUCGUACAUCAGUCGCUCCUCUGGCCGGAGUGGCCUGCUUAAUUAAUAAAUUGAUUGGAUUGUUU